rnacentral:rRNA from 1 species
AGUGAACGCUGGCGGUAGGCCUAACACAUGCAAGUCGAACGGCAGCACAGUAAGAGCUUGCUCUUACGGGUGGCGAGUGGCGGACGGGUGAGGAAUACAUCGGAAUCUACUUUUUCGUGGGGGAUAACGUAGGGAAACUUACGCUAAUACCGCAUACGACCUACGGGUGAAAGCAGGGGAUCUUCGGACCUUGCGCGAUUGAAUGAGCCGAUGUCGGAUUAGCUAGUUGGGGGGGUAAAGGCCAACCAAGGCGACGAUCCGUAGCUGGUCUGAGAGGAUGGUCGGCCACACUGGAACUGAGACACGGUCCAGGCUCCUACGGGAGGCAGCAGUGGGGAAUAUUGGACAAUGGGCGCAAGCCUGAUCCAGCCAUACCGCGUGGGUGAAGAAGGCCUUCGGGUUGUAAAGCCCUUUUGUUGGGAAAGAAAAGCAGCAGGUUAAUACCCCGCUGUUCUGACGGUACCCAAAGAAUAAGCACCGGCUAACUUCGUG